rnacentral:ncRNA from 1 species
UCAUCGAGUAGAAGCCGGCAACGGCGUGCCUUCUCAGGCCGCCGUGGGUCAUUGCUCCGGGA